UACGAAGGGGGCUAGCGUUGUUCGGAUUCACUGGGCGUAAAGGGUGCGUAGGUGGCGUCGUAAGUGGGGUGUGAAAUCCCGGGGCUUAACCCCGGGACUGCAUUCCAUACUGCGGUGCUUGAGGACUGGAGAGGAGACUGGAAUUUACGGUGUAGCAGUGAAAUGCGUAGAGAUCGUAAGGAAGACCAGUGGCGAAGGCGGGUCUCUGGACAGUUCCUGACACUGAGGCACGAAGGCCAGGGGAGCAAACGGG
rnacentral:rRNA from 1 species